GCCAAGAUCAUGCCACUGUACUCCAGCCUGGGCGACAGAAUGACACUCCAUCUCAAAAAAAAACAGUAAUGAGCCCGAGCUUCCUGGAGACUAUGACAAGCAGAUAAUAACAUAAGUAAAACAAGAUUACAGCUAGGGAUUACGUCACGAGGUUGAUAAGGAACCCUUACCCAAAAGUUAAAUCGUGUUUUCAAUCGUUUAGAAGGUCCAUCAUAAGAGAUAUUUUGACAUCACUACCUAGUGAACACACACAUGUGUGUAGGUACCAGAAACAAAGUUUCAUGAAAUAGUAUUUGAAAAGAGGUGGAGAAUGGGAGUAAGACACCCACUUGGGUUACUGCAAAAGUCUUGGCUUGAAAUGACAUUAAAGGUCACGGAGAAAAGAACUCGAGAAAAAAAAAAAAGGAAAAAUAACAAAAAGAGAUUGAAAAAAAAGAAAAGAGCUUAUGGAGUGAGUCAGUAGUGGGUGAAGAAUGCACAGGAGGAGAUGAACAUGAAACUCCUCAAAAGAAGCUAUGUGAAUGACAGGAAGAGGGCAAAUCAAAGAUGACACUGAGACACCUAUUCUGUCCUGAGUGGGAAAGGAUGAGGACAUGAGUGACAAGAGCAAGAGGGAGCACGGCAGUAAGGACAGGGUAUACGGCAGCCAAAAGGAAGGGCCGGAGAGAAUCUUCUUAUUCAAUACCCUUUUCCAUCUUUGGCACAUGAACCAUGCAAAUGCAUCACCCAUUCAAGAAAAUGAGAUUUUAACUUAAAAAAAAAUCUAGAAAAAUGUCUGUGUUGUGGUCUAAUGAUUAAAAAACAACAGUCAUUAAUAGUCCAGAAUGAAAACCAGUUAAACCCAUUAAGAAUGAGUUCAAGACUUCCACUCAAGCUGGGCGUUUGGUUAGUGGGGACCCACGAGGGUUCAACAUGCGUAUCGAGAAGUGUUAUUUCUGUUCGGUGCCCAUCUACCCUGGCCACAGCAUGAUUUUUGCCUGCAAUGAUUACAAGGUGUUCAGAUUUUGUGAAUCUAAAUGUCAUAAAAACUUUAAAAAGAAGCGCAAUCCUCGCAAAGUUAGGUGGACCAAAGUAUUCCAGAAAGCAGCUGGUAAAGAGCUUACAGUGGAUAAUUCAUUUGAAUUUGAAAAGCAUAGAAAUGAACCUAUCAAAUACCAGCACAAGUUAUGGAAUAAAACUACUGAUGCAAUGAAGAGGGUUGAAGAGAUCAAACAGAAACGCCAAGCUAAAUUUAUAAUGAACAGAUUGAAGAAAAAGAGCUACAGAAAGUUCAGGAUAUCAAAGAAGUCAAGCAAAACAUCCAUCUUAUCUGAGCCCCUCUUGCAGAAAAAGGGAAGCAGUUGGAAGAUAAAAUGGUACAGCAGUUGCAAGAGGAUGUGGACAUGGAAGAUGCUUCUUAAAAACCUCUAUAGCCAUUUCUUUUAUGUACAUUUGAAAAUGCCCUUUGGACACUUGGAACUGCUAAAUUAUUAUUUAUUUUUUACAUAAGGUCACUUAAAUGAAAAGUGAUUAAAAUAUAUCUUUCCUACAUUGCCAUCUACAAAACAUCAGAUAUUACGGAUGUUAGAUUGCAUCUCAGUGUUAAAUCUUCACUGACAGAUGUACCUAUGUAAAUCAUGAAAAUUCUGCUUAUAACUAAAGAAGUGAAUUGUGGAUGUAAAAUGGCUAUGCCAUUUGGAUAACGGCACAAGGCAGCAUUUGUAUAAUAACUAAUGGCAAAAAUUAAUGGCUUGUGAUGUAUAAAAUUAAAUAUUUCUUUGCAGUAAAAUA